GACGAACGCUGGCGGCGUGCCUAAUACAUGCAAGUUGAGCGCUGAAGGUUGGUACUUGUACCAACUGGAUGAGCAGCGAACGGGUGAGUAACGCGUGGGGAAUCUGCCUUUGAGCGGGGGACAACAUUUGGAAACGAAUGCUAAUACCGCAUAAAAACUUUAAACACAAGUUUUAAGUUUGAAAGAUGCAAUUGCAUCACUCAAAGAUGAUCCCGCGUUGUAUUAGCUAGUUGGUGAGGUAAAGGCUCACCAAGGCGAUGAUACAUAGCCGACCUGAGAGGGUGAUCGGCCACAUUGGGAAUGAGACACGGCCCAAACUCCUACGGGAGGCAGCAGUAGGGAAUCUUCGGCAAUGGACGAAAGUCUGACCGAGCAACGCCGCGGGAGUGAAGAAGGGUUUCGGAUCGUAAAACUCUGUUGGUAGAGAAGAACGUUGGUGAGAGUGGAAAGCUCAUCAAGUGACGGUAACUACCCAGAAAGGGACGGCUAACUACGUG
rnacentral:rRNA from 1 species